rnacentral:rRNA from 1 species
UUCGCAAUGCCCGAAAGGGUGACGAAGCGACGCCGCGUGUGGGAAGAAGGCCUUCGGGUUGUAAACCACUGUCGGGAGUUAAGAAAUGCAAGGAUAUGAAUAGUGUCUUUGCUUGACUAAGGCUCCGGAGGAAGCCACGGCUAACUCUGUGCCAGCAGCCGCGGUAAUACAGAGGCGGCAAGCGUUGUUCGGAAUUAUUGGGCGUAAAGAGCACGUAGGCGGCUAUGUAAGUCGGUUGUGAAAGCCUUCCGCUCAACGGAAGAACAGCAUCCGAUACUACAUGGCUUGAGUGCGGGAGGGGAGAGUGGAAUUCCUGGUGGAGCGGUGAAAUGCGUAGAUAUCAGGAGGAACGCCGGCGGCGAAAGCGGCUCUCUGGCCCAUAACUGACGCUGAGUGUGCGAAAGCUAGGGGAGCAAACGGGAUUAGAUACCCCGGUAGUCCUAGCCGUAAACGAUGGGCACUAAGUAGAGGGGUUUU